ACUGGAGUUUUGGGUUGGAGACAGUAAGCUUGAUCUGCUGGGGAGUUGCAUGCUAAAGCCCCCAUUGCAAAGGUGCCUGACAUUCUUUCCCCAUGAGCGAGACAGUGCCUGUUUGUACAGUGUAAUGCUUUGACACACUAAAAUUAGACCAAGGAUAAAAUGAUAGACAAAACUCUGCGAAAAGUGUUUGUCAUAAACCAUUUACAAUGAAACAACGAAUCAAGACCCAAAUCAUGAAAAAAGGCUUUUUGAGUCUUUCAAAGUUAGAACCAGAGUUUGUGUCUCUGUUGUUCCAAGAGACUUUGUAUUUGUAAGUUCCUCUUGUGACACUGAGGGCUUUCAUCUGGCUGCCUGCCCAUAUGCAAAUUGUGGUGAAUUUAAUGCACUUUAAGGAACUCAAUGAAACGGCUUCUAACUCUAAUUAGUAUGUCAGACUCAAACUUAACACUCCAGGAGGUGAUGCUCAUCAUGUCUGUACCCCACUACAGCUGACAUUUAGUGUCCCUUGCCUUCAAACACACCAGUUUGUUCCCUUGAUAGCAUUGGUCUAUAUUUAGGAGGGCCCUGUGACUGUUGCCACAGCGUGUCAGAUUCCUGUGGUAUGCUCCUUUCUGGCUGGACUUGCACCUGCUGCGAGCUUUAACCCUACACUCAUACUGAGCACAGACUGAGGAGCCUCUGCCAAACUUCAGUCAAAAAAAAUCCAGGGCCAACUAUAUGCGGCCAGACUGACUCAACUGUAGUUGGUGGAUACUCUGCAGAAGUUCCUGGACUAUGCUGGAAGAGGACACUGGCCCGAGUGUGGGGUCAGCGAGGGACUGAAGACACAGGACUCCCUCGGGAGGGCUAUCGGCAUGAGAUCUCACAAUGUUCAGGAAUUUCCCCAGCAUCCCUUACUAGAGCAGGCAGUGUGUGUUUCUGAGUAGCCAACGUACUGGCGCAACUACACACUGCAGCGUUGCAUCCUGUGUCACUGGGGUCGGCAGAAAAGCAAUGGAAAGCUGGGUCCUAGAGGGAGACAGCUACUCAUUCCUCCGCAGCGCUCCUCACACCUUCAAUCUGCAAAACAGGGACCGGCCAAAUCGUGUGGAGAUCUUUGAUAUCACCAGAAUCCCAGGUCAACGCAACGUUAUUUCCGAGACCACCUGCCUCUGUGACAUCUUUGGAGACGACUGUGAAACGCAUUCCCUCGCCUGUAGCCCGGCCUCCACAUCAAUUCUUAAAAGGGAGCCGGAUGAAGUGAGACCUGUGGACGACACCAACGACUCAUCAGGAUCCUAUCACACAGCCAACUCCUCAGAGCGCUCCAGUGACUCGACUGAUACAUUUGAGGAUACAAAAGAGGCUUCUCCCUGCACACUCAAAACCAAUCUGAAUUCAUCUGGAUCAGCAACAGCAUUAUCAGAUGGUCUGGAUACAAGCAAGCCUUCGCAAAAAGCUGACUAUCUAGAAUCACACUCUGGUCCAGCAAGCACUGGUGCUUCCCCUGAAACUCAAGGAGUAAAUUCAUGUUCCUUGACAGAGUCCUCUCCCAUUAAUGGACCUUCCAGUGCAUUCGUUUAUUCCAUAGGUGGUGGUCUGCUAACAGAGCACGACAUUGUAUCACCCUCCCCUGAAUUCAGGAGCAAAGCUUCUUCUCCUGAGCUGAAAUAUAGCUCUUCCUCUAAGAGUAAAACCCACAGUGCAGGAGUGACCAGCCCCACAGACACAUCUCAAAGUGGGAAGCCCGUAACAAGCUCAAUAGAAUCGGCAAUACAGCCAACCGCAACCUAUACAUCUGAGACGAAUGAUGAUUUCUCAAUUCAAGAUGAGUUUGGAGAUUUAGUCUCUCCCCUUGAUAGAAGAAAUAUUUGUCUAAUUCCUGUAUUUUCAAUCAUACCUGAAUCAAGAGACAGUCCCCUAUUCUUUUCCGAAAAAGGGAAUAUAAGAGAUUCACUCAAACUCAAAGACAUCAGUCCCAUACCUGUAUCUCCUAUUAUACCACACCAGCUUGGUAACCCCAUAGCGUCUUCACAUGAUCCGGGGGACAAAGCUUUUGUAACUGAGGAUAGAUCUCAAUCACCAACAAGCUCUACUGAUAGACUACUGGAAGGGACAAUUGACACAGUCUCCCUGUCUGGACAUCAGAAAACAUCCAGUUCUUCAGAAGCCUGGACUUCAAGUUUUGUGAGUGAACAAAACCUUACAGCCAAAUCCUCUGAGGUAGGGUUUGAGGUAACCCAUAUUGAAACAAUACACACCAUCCCCUCAAAUGAAAUAAGCGGUAGCGUCUCUGUAUCACCUGUAAUCACUAAUUCACCUGUGAUCACUAAUUUACCUGUAAUCACUAAUUCACCCGUGCCUACAGAAGCUGCAAGCUCCCCUUCAUCUGAGCACGUGUUAAUCACACAUUCACCUGAGCCUAUAGCCGACGCAAGUUCGCUUCAACACAAAGCAGUUACUGGUUCACCUGAGGCUGAAGAAUUACCUUACCCUUCCACACCUGAGCCCACAGUCCUCACUAAUUCUCCUGAGCCUACAAUAUUACCUAACUUUUAUUCACUGGAACCCUCAGAAGUCAUUAGUUCAGGAAUAGUGCUUGAACCAACAGGAAUUACUUCAACAGAACCUGAACUACCAAUUAACCUCACUUCACCUGAACUACUAAAUAACCUAACUUCACCUGAACACACAGAAAUAAUUAAUUCACCAGAACCUGAAUUAGCAGCUAAUCUCAUUUCACCUGAACUAGUAAAUAACCUAACUUCACCUGAACACACAGAAAUUGUUUAUUCACUAGAACCUGAACUAGUACCUAACCUCACUUCACCUGAACACACUGAAAUUGUUAAUUCACUAGAACUUGAAUUAGCAACUAACUUUACUUCAGCUGAACACACAGAAAUUGUUAAUUCACCAGAACCUGAAUUAGCAGCUAACCUCAUUUCAACUGAAUACACAGAAAUUGUUAAUUCACCAAAACUUGAAUUAGCAACUAACUUCACUUCGCCUGCACCCACAAUCAUUUCUGAUUCACCUGAGCCUGAAAUAGUAGCUUAUUGUUCUUCACCAGAACCCACAAAAUUCAGUAGUUCACCGGACUGUACUGUAAUAGUCAUUUCACCUGAGCCCACUGAUUUAUUUGAUCUUAAAUUUGUAGCUAAAUCACUUGAGCCCAACGGAACUGCUAAUUCACUUGAAGCUAUUUCAACUGAGCCUAUUGUGAUUGCCACUUCACCAGAGCUUGAAGCUAAUUCACCUGAGCAUUUAGUAAUCCCUAAUUCACCUGAGCAUUUAGUAAUCCCUAAUUCACCUGAGCAUUCAGUAAUCCCUAAUUCACCUGAGCCUAUAGCGGUGGCUAGUACACCAGGACCGAUAUUAAUUGCAACUUCUCCCAAGACCACAGAUAUUUCUUCUGUCACUUCUACCCCCGAACCUACUCAAAUCACUCAGUCUCCUGAACACCCAAUAAUAGCUAUAUCACCUGAAUUUGUUUUAAAAUCCCCAACACCAAUGUAUAAUCCUACCUGUCCUUCACCUGAAAUACAGAUAACUUACUCAGCUGAGCCCAGAACGACACCCUCUCCCUCAGAAAAUGUGAGAAUAAGCUACUCUCCUGAAUCUAGAGACAUGUCUAGCUCACCACAUUUUGGCCACGGUGCCUCCCCACUGGAUUCAAGAAGAAUGACCCUAACACCGGAGGUGAGCAUUACCACACAGGCAAACCGGGGAAAUCUAUCACCUGACCUCACAAAUAGAACCCCUUCACCUUUCAGAAGUACAACCUCACCUCAGGUAACAGGUUUGACAUACAGUGUUGCAUCAUCUGAUGGUAGGAUCAUGGCAGAGUCACCUGAAAUGAGGGGUAUAACUUGCAGUUAUUUACCAACGGAGAUGAAGAGCAUGGCCCAAUCACCAGACCGUCUAUCUCUCAGAAGCCCUGGAAGCUUCAGUCUGUUGGCUGAGACCAGAAAUACGACCCCCUUCUCUGAGCUGAAGGACAUUUGCUCUUCACCUGAGCUAAGCAAUGUCACCCCUGAGCCAGAACAGAGUGUUUCAGAAUGCUCUCUUGAGUUGUGGUCCCCAGUGAAAGACACAGCAUCCUUUCCAGAUUUACAGAAUAGAACCCUGUCACCGUUUAUCGCUGCAAGAAAUUAUUCACCUCUUCGGUCAUACUCACCUGGGCAACGAGUGAAAUCAAGCUCACCUGGGCAACGAGUGAAAUCAAGCUCACCUGGGCAACGAGUGAAAUCAAGCUCACCUGAAAAAAGAUAUGUUGGGGUCUCACCAGUUCAUUUGGCCACUUCUCCAAAGUCUGAAGGAUGUCAUCGUUCACCAAUCAUUGCUAAAAGUGGAGCUAGCCCCUCUUCUGAGAUUAUAAGCAAAGGACAACAAGAGUCUCCUCUCUCGUUUAAAAGCAAAAGUACAACCCCUUUAUUUGAACCUGACUCAAAGGAUGAGUUACAAGAACAAGAAAUGUGUGGGCUGGUUGCUCAUUCAUACAUAAGUGCAUCCCCAACCCAUCAAUGCAGCCAAAUCAACCAGCCAACAAGUCCCUCUUCUAAAUCCUUAAGGAAAUACCCAACACCAAGGCCAGGAGACACUAACAAAAUCACAGAAACUAAAUCUAAAUUAAUAGACUGUGAGAAUCCUUUAAACCCAGUAGCUUGGUCCCAUUCUGAAAUGGCUUCUAAAGUGGAGCAGCAUAGGAGUUGGGAGGAAAUGAAAGGUGGAACUCAGAAACCUUUGAAAGGCAAUUGGUAGGUACCAGUGUGAGGGCAGGCCACAUGGGAUUGACAUGCAGGGAAAGCCCCACUGUCCGCCAUGGUGACGGCAGUGGAGAAUAUGACCGCCGGCCAUGCCAGGGCGGGGAGGAGUACAGGGCCAGAGAGGGUGAGGAGAGGAAGGCGUCAGUGAAGGGGGAGGGGAGGAGCAGAAAGGAGGGUUACAGAGGGGAACAGGUUGAGCUGUCAUUCAGUGCCAGGAAUAGAAAAGGGCCUGCCAGCUCCAGCUCCAGCGCAGCUCCCACAAGCAGAGAUCCCAAGCUGGGGAUUCCUGCUCGCUCUUAUUCAGAGUGGCUCCUCGCAACUCGACAGCAACAGCAACAGAGUCAGAUAAGAACUCAGACCUUACAGCAAGAGAACAAGGGUGGUGCCAGGAGGCUAAAAGCAGUCCCCGGGAGCAAUAACACCGGGGUUGGCCGCCUUUCUAGCGCUCACACAAGGGAGACCUCCAGCAUGGGGAGCGAGUUUGAUGAGGCUGACAGUGAGGUGAAGUGGCUGACAGACGUGGCGUUCAGAAGCCUCUCGAGCCCUCAGGUGGAUUACCUGGACGUGUACAACUCUAGCCACAGGUCGUCUACAAAUGCCUCACAGCCAUCCACUCAGGAGAGCCCAGGUGGUACAGCAUGGUUAUCCUAUGCAGACCUUCGUGGCUCAUCUCAAGGUGAAGGUGACGAUGUUCCACGUCAGCCUUCCUAUGUGCCACCCCUGGGCGGCUUGGAUCCCUCUAGACGUUUUGAAAUGGGCAGUUUUGAGUGUGUAGAUGUAGCUCUGGAGAGCAGAGAGGAGGCCAGGAAGGGGAAAAGGACCGUUCCCAAAAGGCAGAUUCAGCUCAAGAGACGUGACAACAAUGAACCAAAGACCCAGGAAAACACAGAGUGUGCUUUGGGUUCUCCCUCUACAGAGAGACGGUUCAAUGAUACCUUAGCGCGGCAGCACAGUACACCAGUGACAAUGGAGGAGGAAAUGACAACAGAUAGCCCUGAGGCUGAUCAAACUGACAGAAAACCGAGGAUGCAGAAGUCCUCGUCCCUGGACGAGACAUCAAGCAAAUCAAAAGUUGCCUCAUGUCUUAUUAAGAAUGUACUGUCAAAGAAAAUGCGAAAAGGUGAGAGCAGCCAAACUGCACACCGUAAAGCGGAUUUAAGUCCAUCUGAAGACACAAACGACCCCUUUGAGAGUAUAACCCCACCUCCUGAGAGAGAGCACUCAAAAUCCGACAACGUUAAGUCCAGCCAACUUUCAGACAACAGUCUGCCACCUAUGAACCCACCUGUCAAGGAGGAGCGAAGUCCACCCCAAGGGGCUAAACACCAAAGAGGUCUUGCGCCCAAAGUGCCUCCAAAGCCACUGCAUUACAUUCUUCCUCCUCUUCCUCAAGAUAUUUCCAUGAGGCCCGAACCGCAACACAAAAAUAAAGUCAGGAAAGAAAGUCCUUUCCCUUUGGAGGGCAAGAAAACGGAGAAACAGGACUCGUGGAAUGGUGGAAAGCAGGCGGCUAACCGUAACCCCGGUGACAAGCACAGCCGUGACUCAGCGAAUGUCAGUGUCGGGAACACAGGCACAACUGCCACCCGAGCCUUGGGCAUGCCAAGUGGAAUGAUAAACAGGGACCAGGAAUGCCACGCGAGACCGGAAAAUCAUAAACAACACAGUGGCAGGAGCGUGUUCAUGUCCAAAACACCAGAAAUCAUGCUGAAGCCCUGCGUGCCCAAGGAGAGAAAACAGUCCUCAGUGAAAGUGUCUCUGUCACCUGGUCUGGAGAGAAAGGCUGGUGACCGCCAGGAAAGAGCUCUGGAGGAGAAACAGGAGGAGCCCGAAUUAGAGGUUGAGACAGAGCAGACAGAGGAUGAAUGUGAUACAAACAAAAUAAGGAAACCCAUACAUAAAGUAAGGGACGUCAGAAGACUUGUUAAAAAUACAUAUAACCUUUCUUUUAAAGCAGCCACCCCUGCUGUGCCACCACAUGCCAUUGAGUCACUGAAGCAGGAGGAGACAGUACCAAUGAAACCUGUCCCGAUGCAGAUUGAGUCACUGAAGCAGGAGGACACAGUACCAAUGAAACCUGUCCCGAUGCAGAUUGAAUCACUGAGGCAGGAGGAGACAGUACCAAUGAAACCUGUCCCAAUGCAGAUUGAAUCACUGAGGCAGGAGGAGACAGGACCAAUGAAACCUGUCCCGAUGCAGAUUGAAUCACUGAGGCAGGAGGAGACAGUACCAAUGAAACCUGUCCCGAUGCAGAUUGAAUCACUGAAGCAGGAGGACACAGUACCAAUGAAACCUGUCCCGAUGCAGAUUGAAUCACUGAGGCAGGAGGAGACAGGACCAAUGAAACCUGUCCCAAUGCAGAUAGAAUGCAGAGCUAUCAACAGGAAGGAUAACAAACAACCCUCUCAACACAAUGACAUGCCUGUGGACACGUCAAAUACAGAUCUACAACAAGAGUCCACAGAAAUGAACCAACAGACAGGAUCCCUCCAAAUCCCUGCUAAGACAACUCAAGCCAACACGUUGACUUCAGACUUGCCACACAAAGAACCAGAUACCCCAGGAAUGGGCACCAACACUGUUUUAGAUGCAUCCGGUCAAAUGGAGAAGGUCUCUAAUGAGGCUGGUCGACACCCAAAGUUGGGCAGUUUACCCAAAAUCCCCAGUAAGGAUAGGGAAGUGUCAAAACUUGUAUUUCAGCCAGAUGGCUCAUCCAAAGGCAUUCCAAAUCCAGACGCCCCACCUUCCCCUCGGUUAGCAGUCCCAAGCAGCAGCCACUCUGUGUCUAUGAUACGAAAGGAAAAGGGAAUGCAAGCUGACAUUGGGGUAUGUGACAGCGUCAGCGAAGGUGCUAGCAACCCUCGUAAACAUGUUAAUAGAAUUGAGGUGCCACUACAGACCUCCUGCAUGGAUGGCACCGCAGGAGAGACGCACAGAAAGGGGGGAGAUACAGCCCAACACUCGACUGCUUCGUCUCCGAGGCUGCCCAGUCCUGAGGAGAUUGGGCCCAAACACAGGAGCUCCCCAAAGCCACAAGGGCAGGAGAAGACAGUUCCCAAGGUUACAUUUGAGGAAAAUCAUAAACAGUCAUCACCGACAAGAGAAGCGCAGGAACUGCCUGACUUGGGAGUUCCUCAGGUUAUCAACAUCAGAAAAGAAACAGCGUCGCCAGUGGUAACAGGCAAAAGCCAGCCUGUUACAGAGGUGAAGCCUGUCCGUGUAGAAGGGAAUGCACCUGCAUCGCAAAAGACAUCAAAAGAGAUAGAGCUUCCUAUACAGGUUAGAUCCAUAUCAUAUGACAGGCCUAAACCAAAACCAAGCUGCAAGCAACCCUUGAUAGAGAUGAAGUCAGUAUCAAAUGACAAAACAAAAGCAGACAAACCCCAACCUGCAAUGGACAAAAAUCAGAGUACAGAAGAAAGAAAGUUUGAAGCAGUUGCUCCUGGUGAGCCAGGGACAAAACCAGCACCACCAGUCCACACAAAUAAAUUAGCAGUAUCAGCCCGAUCAAGCUACAGGCCUCCCCCAAACAAAAUGGCAGCAGUAUCCAGCUUGACUCAGCAAACAGCUGUGGUUGAAUCUUUGAAAGACAAGCAGCUACAUGCAGUACCUACGUCACAAGCCAAUACAACUCAGAUGCCAACAGUUUUCACAUCAAAGGUCCCAGGACAACCCAUCAUUUUGGAUAAAUCAAGCAACCCUGGGGCAUCCAAUAUGCCAUGCCAGGGGCUGCCAGCCAGCUCCAGUGGUUCUAUCCAAACAGUGGGGCCAAUCAUACCACAAGCCCCCAGCUAUACACAGCACCCAGCUGUGAAAUCAGCUGAUAAUCAGUUUCAAACAGAGGAUCUCCAUUUCUAUGCUUCGGAUGACCCACCCAGCUAUGAUGACCGCGAGAGUUUCAGCCCUUACCUCCUGUCAGACUUACCUCCCAAAAGAUCAAAUCGGUACCAUCCAAAUUCCAGGCCUCCGCCAUGCUCUUGCGGCACCAGUUGUUCCUCCCAUCCUGGCCAUCCCCGCCUCAGCCCGCACACUCGCACUCCUCCCAUCGCCCCCCCGCACUCCCCGGGACAGUCUCUACCUUACCCCGGGGCCCCACCUCAAGCCCAGGUCCGUCCUCAUCAGUGCAGACCAGAUGGUCAACCUCUGAGCUAUAAACCAGGCUCACCUAAAGCCCCCAUGCUGAGCCCCACCGCACCACCUCCAGCCAUGUUUCAGCCAGUCCAUCACCCACCUGCCUGUCCUGGGCCACUUCUGCAGCCGUGUGGAGACGAGCGACAGCAGCAUGUGGACCGGCGCCCUGCCCAUCAUCAUCCUCCACAGCAGCAGCAGCACGCAUCAGGUGCUAGUGGUGGGCCAUACAGUGACCAUGUCCAUCCAUCCAACAUGCCCCCCAUGGAGUCUCGACCCCAGUACCUCUGCAGUCCACAAGACCUGGCCUCCUCCUAUGGCUCAGAGUAUGGGCCUGAUGGGCCGGGGGGUGGUAACGUGAUGUACCCGGACAGUACAGGGGGACUUGGAUAUGGGCAAGGUCCUCGACGUGUUCUCCUAGAUCCUGACACAGGGAAGUAUUUCUACAUUGAGGUACCGAUGCAACCCCUCAGAAAGAUGCUGUUUGACCCAGAGACUGGCCAGUAUGUGGAGGUGCUUAUCCCCCAGCAGGCUCUAUCCCACUCCAGCCUGUACUCCCCACCUGCUGCCCCAUACUCCUCCAUGCAUGGGCCAAGUAUGUACUCCCCUCAGUACCUCCCUUACUCUGUCCCAACCCAUCCCCAAGCUACUCACCCUCCUCGAAAUGCUGAGCCCCCCGUCCCUACGACGCUUCAUCAGAACAGCAUAGGUUAUGGGACUCCUCCAGGAGGCCAGGUACCAAAGUCUGAGCUGCAGAACCAGAACCAGCCACCUCUGGAUCAGGGCUACCUGGAGAGCAUGUAUUAUAUCCCAACGGGAAUGAAUGCGAGCCCCAACCCCACACCAUCGGACUGUUACCAUAAGCCCUCGAACCUGCCUACUUCAGGGAGUAGAAGAUCUUGAACUGGUCCUAAUCUAGAGGCUUGAGUUUUAAAUCCCGGUGUAUCAAGGGAGGCUGUGCCGCCCAACAUGACAUGAUGAAUGUCUAUGAAUUAUUGCAAAUGUAAUUGUCCAUUAGAGGUGGGUCUUUGUGUGAAAUUGUACAAUUUUAUCAUCUUUCCUGUUUAAUAACUUUCAGCCUUUUCAAUACUCCACAAGCUCGACAAUGCCACACUCAUUUAGUUGUAUGUCGGCUACAAUGUCACUGGGUAUCCUAACACUUUUCUGAAACACUAUGAAGUACUAUGGACAAGCUGUGAGGAGAGUAUUUAAGGAAGGUCUCAUCUGUCCCUGAGGGGUAAUAGUGGAAACUACUUCUGGUACUUUUUGUGUUAGAAAUGGUUGUCUGUACCUUUAAUUGGAAGAUGUAUUUAUUUUAAUUUGGAGUACAUGUUUAUGUCACUGCAAAUCACAUGACCACCUGUGCGAGCACUUUCAAGUUGUUUUUCCUGGAUGGCGUGCAAUGUCACUCCAAACUGAAUGAGGCCAGGAAUAAAGGCGCUGUGUAGAUCUGUAUUUAUAAUGUUUGGAUAAAAGUUGUACACAUUAAUACACCAUUCUGUCCCAGUUUGUUGUCCUUCCCUGAAAGUCAAAUGGCUGUCCCAAUGCAUUUAUCCAAUAAAGAAUCAACAGAUAAUUGAUCAAAUUUCUGCUAAUAUGUUUGUAUAUUUUAGAUCUCAUCAUGAGAAUACAACAUCUCUCCUCAUGAAAAUACAGCAUUCUUCCACUUACAUAUCCUAGAUAUGAAUUGUGCAACCUUGAUGUGGGCGCUCAUCCAGCCAACUGGAGGCUACGACAAACACUCAAUAGACUCUUCAGUAGGGUGGAGGGAAUUCUGACAUACUUUGUCAAAGAGCGCCAUCUCAUGGAGAGAAUUGACAUGGUUUCAUAUGAGUUAUAGCUUCAAGUCUCUAUAUAUUUGUGACAGAGCUAAUGUACUAGUGUAAGAUUACACAUCCCUGUAUGAAAUACAAAAUUAAGGUCAAAAUUCAGCCCUACAGUCAAAAUAUGUUUCUUUUUCAUCUUUGGUCAACCAACAAGCAUACAUGACACAACAGGAUGUUUCAUUAGAAUCAUGUGUUUUUCAUGUUUGGGCGUGUCCACUGACAAAGAGAAAAGGAAAACUUGGUUGAUGGCUAAAAGCUUAAGGUCACAUACAUCAAAGCAGCCCAGGUGCAAUUUGAGUUUCCAUACAAGUAAAGCUGAUAUAAUAAAAUGAAUAACUG
ensembl:lncRNA